AUAUUAUAAACAGAGAAGGCAGAUGGCAGCAAUGGAAACAAUUGUGAUCACACCAGCCUGUGUUUCUAGCAUCUGUCAUUGCUGAAUGAUGUUAACAAGACCGCAGCAUGAAUUAUCACCGUGCAGAGAUCAGCAAACAGAAGAAACAAACUUCAAUUCCUUGGGGAUGAAUGGAUGGACAGACAGACAGCAAUCUCGGUGAGGAAACCAUGGCUUCCUGUGUCAGAAUAGCACUAACCUGAGACCAAGGAUGAGGCUUUGAGCAAGGAGAGGACAUGGGGGACAAGGCUAAUAAACCAUUACCAUGAGACUUGAGCAACUCUCCUGGUUAUGACACAGACAAAGCUCCAGAGAUACCACCAUGACAAGAACCGCAAAAAAGCUGGGAAUCUGCUCUAACAAGACCACCACAAAGCAAUAGAAGAACUUAACCAGAGAGUCAAGACAGUCCAACACUCAGAUACAUCAAGCCAAAAGGACAAAACAAAGAAUCAGCUAAAAAACACCAAAACAACAAUGCAAACACAGGUCCAGUUCCUCAGUGGCUGACACCACACCCAGCCCUGAGAAAGCUGAGAGUGAAAAUACAAAGAUUCACAAAAGCAUAUGCUUUAGGGGAUGUGAAUAAAAAAACAACCGAGGACUGAAAGUUCAAACACUAC